GCUUGUCUCAAAGAUUAAGCCAUGCAUGUCUAAGUAUAAAUGCUAUACAAUGAAACUGCGAAUGGCUCAUUAAAACAGUUAUAGUUUAUUUGGUAAUCGAAUUUACAUGGAUAACCGUGGUAAUUCUAGAGCUAAUACAUGCUGCUAAGCCUGACUUUUUGAAGGGCUGUAUUUAUUAGAUAACAGACCAAUAUUCCUCGUGUCUAUUGUGAUGACUCAUAAUAACUGAUCGAAUCGCAUGGGCCUUGCCCGCGAUACAUCAUUCAAGUUUCUGCCCCAUCAGCUUUCGAUGGUAGUGUAUUGGACUACCAUGGCUUUAACGGGUAACGGAGGAUUAGGGUUCGAUUCCGGAGAGGGAGCCUGAGAAACGGCUACCACAUCUAAGGAAGGCAGCAGG
rnacentral:rRNA from 1 species